UACGUAGGGGGCAAGCGUUGUCCGGAAUCAUUGGGCGUAAAGCGAGCGUAGGCGGCCCGAUAAGUCUGCUGUAAAAGUCAACGGCUCAACCGUUGAAAGCCGGUGGAUACUGUCGGGCUAGAGUUCGGAAGAGGCAAGUGGAAUUCCUGGUGUAGCGGUGGAAUGCGCAGAUAUCAGGAGGAACACCUAUAGCGAAGGCAGCUUGCUGGGACGAAACUGACGCUAAGGCUCGAAAGCGUGGGGAGCGAACAGG
rnacentral:rRNA from 1 species